rnacentral:rRNA from 1 species
UACGAAGGGGGCUAGCGUUGCUCGGAAUCACUGGGCGUAAAGCGCACGUAGGCGGCUUUCUAAGUCAGGGGUGAAAUCCUGGAGCUCAACUCCAGAACUGCCUUUGAUACUGGAGAGCUUGAGUCCGGAAGAGGUGAGUGGAACUCCGAGUGUAGAGGUGAAAUUCGUAGAUAUUCGGAAGAACACCAGUGGCGAAGGCGGCUCACUGGUCCGGUACUGACGCUGAUGUGCGAAAGCG